rnacentral:rRNA from 1 species
AACGAACGCUGGCGGCAGGCCUAACACAUGCAAGUCGAGCGAGGACUUCGGUCCUAGCGGCGGACGGGUGAGUAACGCGUGGGAACGUGCCCUUUGCUUCGGAAUAGCCCUGGGAAACUGGGAGUAAUACCGGAUGAGCCCUUUGGGGGAAAGAUUUAUCGGCGAAGGAUCGGCCCGCGUUGGAUUAGGUAGUUGGUGGGGUAAUGGCCUACCAAGCCGACGAUCCAUAGCUGGUUUGAGAGGAUGAUCAGCCACACUGGGACUGAGACACGGCCCAGACUACUACGGGAGGCAGCAGUGGGGAAUCUUAGACAAUGGGGGAAACCCUGAUCUAGCCAUGCCGCGUGAGCGAUGAAGGCCUUAGGGUUGUAAAGCUCUUUAAGCUGGGAAGAUAAUGACGGUACCAGCAGAAGAAGCCCCGGCUAACUCCGUG